AACUUGUUAACAUUGCUUCAAUUAAAGCCAGUGUAGACCCUUCUAACUUGGCGUUGUCUAUUAAUGUCGAAAUUAGUUUAUCCUGCAAAGAAUUUCCAGGUAUCAUACUGGAUUUGAACAUUAACGCUGGAAAAUUGUUAGCAUCAGCAUCUAAUGGUGUUCUUUCACUGAAACUAGACAAAGCCGUGACCAUCAUAGUUAGUCUGAAUGGAAAAAGCACUGUCAACUUAGGUGCUCUGUUGACGCCCCUCCUGACUAGCAUUAGUGAU